ensembl:lncRNA
AAGUCGGGUCUGACUCUUUUGAGACCCCAUGGAUGGUAGCCUGCCAGGCUCUUCUGUCCAUGGGAUUUUCCAGGCUGGAAACCUCACAUUGCCAGAGAUGGAGCCACCAGAUACCAAGGAAACAUUGGCUGAAAGAAUUUGAAUUCAGAAGAUGGAGCCCAUUGGGAAAAAAAAAAAUCAAAUAGAUAUUCAUUGUUUAAGGCAAAGAAACGUGGUGCCACUCCUGCUUCUGGGAUCCAAGGCUACCCAACUCUAGCCUCCUCUGAACUCCAGGCUUGGCCCAAAGUCCCAGGACACAGCCUCGGGAACUGAAGGGGGAUUUUGGGAGAAAAAAUAUCGUCUGUCUAUAGGUAUCAACAUUGUGUGUGUUCAUGCUCAGUCGCUUGGUCGUGUCCAACUCUUUGUGACCCUAUGGACUGUAGCCCACCAGGCUUCUCUGUCCAUGACAUUUUCCAGGCAAGAAUACUGGAGUGAGUUGCUAUUUCCUACUCCAGGGGAUCUUCCCAACCCCGGGACUGAAACCUAGUCUCCCAUGUCUCCAGCAUUGGCAGAUGGAUUCUUUAGCACUGUGCCACCUGGGAAGCCCAGGUAUCAACAUUGCUUUCCUUUAAACAUUUAAAAAAAAUGUCUAAACCUCCCCACAAUUCAAAUGUUUCUCUUAUUAUCUUCUGCCGAGGGAAAAAAUUAAUAACACAGCACAAUAU